rnacentral:pre_miRNA from 1 species
AGUUUGUAUCCUUUGACAGAUACGCGUAUUUCGACCUCACAGUUGAGGUCGAAAUACGCGUAUGUGUCAAAGGAUACAAACUC